rfam:Dipodomys ordii contig_6179, whole genome shotgun sequence.
GGGAAUGUGGCUUAGUGGUAGAGUGCUUGCCUACCAUGCAUGAAGCCCUGGGUUCGAUUCCUCAGUACCA